rnacentral:rRNA from 1 species
AUUAAACGCUGGCGGCAUGCCUUACACACGCAAGUCGAACGGUAACAGGUCUUCGGAUGCUGACGAGUGGCGAACGGGUGAGUAAUACAUCGGAACGUGCCUAGUAGUGGGGGAUAACUACUCGAAAGAGUGGCUAAUACCGCAUGAGAUCUACGGAUGAAAGCAGGGGAUCGCAAGACCUUGUGCUACUAGAGCGGCCGAUGGCAGAUUAGGUAGUUGGUGGGAUAAAAGCUUACCAAGCCGACGAUCUGUAGCUGGUCUGAGAGGACGAUCAGCCACACUGGGACUGAGACACGGCCCAGACUCCUACGGGAGGCAGCAGUGGGGAAUUUUGGACAAUGGGCGCAAGCCUGAUCCAGCAAUGCCGCGUGCAGGAUGAAGGCCUUCGGGUUGUAAACUGCUUUUGUACGGAACGAAAAGCCCCGGGUUAAUACCCUGGGGUCAUGACGGUACCGUAAGAAUAAGCACCGGCUAACUACGUGCCAGCAGCCGCCGUAA